rnacentral:lncRNA from 1 species
CAAAAGGCCAGAACUAGGUUAAAAAGUUGACACACAGGAUUUGGCAGCUGGGACUCACUGAGAACCUGGGGUUCCUCUUCCUCAUCCAGUCCCCACUUCAUUUCCUCCCCCCUUUCUUCUACAUGCAUUGUCAGAUGUAGCUCAAGCUGGCCUCAAACUCGUGAUCGACCUGCUCCACUUCCUCAGUCAAAGCGCAGGAGCCUUAGGUGGGCCGCACCACUGUCUUCUCAGUUCUUGCAGCUGCUGAGAGGUAAAUGUGACCAUCCAACGAGUGUUGACUCUGUGCCUUUCCAGAAGCAGGAAGCCUUCAAGGAAACAUAGGAAAUCCUCAGUGAUUGAAGUCCUGAGUGACUGCAUCACAGACAUGGGCGCAGCCACGACAAGGACCAAGGCAUGGGACCCAUGGAAAAGAGCAACAGUCUUCUUUAGACCAGGUCCCAUCGGGAGCGGACUCUUGGGGGUUUCCACAGUGACAGUAAACAAGCCUCAACAGCCUCAGCUACAACAGCCAAGUUCCUCCUCUGGGUGCUCUGAGAGCGGGCGAGGUUCCGGCUGUGAGUGGGAGCAUGGAGGAGACAAGGAGCCCGAGCAGCUAGAUUUACAGACAUGCUGCAGACACCCCAGUUGUUAUAUGGAUGCUAGGAACUGAGCUUUGUUCUUAACCACCAAGCCAUCUCUCCAGCCCCUAGCUGCAUCUUCCAGUGGCACAGCGGAAGGAAACACCUCUCCAGGCAGCCUGUCCCAACACUUGCCGGGCUCGUCUUUCUUUCCUGCCUCCAAAGGAUACUCUUUGUUGCCUGGUAUCCAGGAUCUUUGAAACAUUUUUUAUUUUUUUUAUUUUUGCCAGUUUGUAAAAAUUAUUUCAGAGGGGAAGGUUAAUGAGGUGGCUGAUGGUCAACCCACAUUUUGCAGAAGUGGAAAACAGAACAUCAAGAGUUCAUUUCAUCUUUAUGUAAAUUCUGUGUAGGAAAGUUAAAGAAAUGAAAGCCAAGCAUGGUGGCUCAGGCCUUUAAUCCAUACCCACUCCAAGGUUACACCCACUCCAACAGAGUCACACCUCAACAGUCCCACUCCCUGUGAGAUUCUGUGGGCAAUUACACUAAAACUGCCACAGAUGCUCUUUACUUUUUUCACUUCUAAUUCCCUCAGUAUGUAUGUAUGUGUCUUGUUACUUUUCUGUUGCUGUGAAGAAAGUGUGAAGGCAACUUAAAGAAGAAAAAGGGGUUUACAGUUAACACAGAGAGAGAGAUGACUAGGAAUGGUGUGGCCUUUUGAAGCCUCAAAGCCCAUCCCCAGUGACACAGCUCCUCCAACAAGGCCACACCCCAAAAUCCUUCCCAAACAGUUCUAUCAACUGGGGACCAAGUAUUCAAAUAUAUGAGCCUAUAUGUUGGACCAAAAAAAGGCUCCAAUUCGAGGUCCAUGUAACCUCCUGAGCCUGACUUGAGUUUAAGGCUCCAAUGUGAGGCCCAGUGUAACCGCCUGAGGCGGGCUUGAGUUUGGCGACCUGUCUCUGGCCUGUAAUCUCCAUGUGGGGAUGACUCAGCAAGACUGCCCCCCUGCCUAGCUAUCGGCUAGCUUGGUGGAAUAUUAUUGUUCUUUACUCCCCACAUCACCUUACCCUAUCCUGAUUUCCAUCCCCUACCUUAGCCCUAUAUAAGUUCAUUCUUAUUGGAAUAAAUCGAGAUUCUGCUUCAACAA